rnacentral:misc_RNA from 1 species
GUUUUUCUAAUUUAUAAUAUUUUUGAUUUUUUAAUUGUUGUCUUGAAAAAGUAAAAAUUAUACAAAAGGAUUAAAGUGCUAGUUGAAUCAAAAUUGGAGGUUAAUUAAUUCUGUUUUAAAAAUAUAAUAACAAAAUUAUUAAUUUUUAAAGGAAUGACAAAAUUAAAAAAAAAAAUUCAAUUAUUCAAACAACUCUAAUUAAGAACAGCAGCAACUGCUACAAUCAUUGAAAAACCUGUGUGGUUGCAGUGAAAAAUGUAGAAAAUAAAAUCCGAAAUCCAACACACCAAUAAUAAUUAGAAACCCAAUAAAACAUGAAAAAGAGCAAACUAAAUCCAACAAUGGCAUUUGAUUCGGUUAAAAACGUUGAUUCACUCAUGAAAUUUCGAUCUAUAUUUGUCACCCAGAUUACAAAAACAGGGAACCCGCAAAAAGAAACUGAGCCUAAAUGCCUCAGAUCAAAAUUCUUUUCAUAGAUAUUAAAUCUCAGAGUAUAUUUAACACCAUCAU